AUGAGUGAAGUUCCUUCUCGACUAUAAUUACUGCUUUCACUUUCUUCACAGGGGCUGAACUGCACAGUGAAGAACAGUACCUUCCUAGAUGACAGCUGGAUCCACCCUCAGAACUUGACCCCCUCAUCCCCAAAAGAUGCUUGGAUCCAGCUGCACUUGGCCUACACCCAGUCUGGAGAGCUUGUCCCUGUGGCGCUUGUGGAAUGGUUGUUACAGACAGACGCCAGCAUCUUAUACCUUGAGGGUGCGGAGGUUUCCAUCCUGCAGCUGAACACUAAUGAGCGACUAUGUGUCAACUUCUAAAGUUUCUCUAAA